GAUGAACGCUGGCGGCGUGCCUAAUACAUGCAAGUCGAGCGAACAGAUGAGGAGCUUGCUCCUCUGCCGUUAGCGGCGGACGGGUGAGUAACACGUGGAUAACCUACCUAUAAGACUGGGAUAACUUCGGGAAACCGGAGCUAAUACCGGAUAAUAUAUUGAACCGCAUGGUUCAAUAGUUAAAGACGGUUUUGCUGUCACUUAUAGAUGGAUCCGCGCCGCAUUAGCUAGUUGGUAAGGUAACGGCUUACCAAGGCAACGAUGCGUAGCCGACCUGAGAGGGUGAUCGGCCACACUGGAACUGAGACACGGUCCAGACUCCUACGGGAGGCAGCAGUAGGGAAUCUUCCGCAAUGGGCGAAAGCCUGACGGAGCAACGCCGCGUGAGUGAUGAAGGUCUUCGGAUCGUAAAACUCUGUUAUUAGGGAAGAACAAAUGUGUAAGUAACUAUGCACGUCUUGACGGUACCUAAUCAGAAAGCCACGGCUAACUACGUG
rnacentral:rRNA from 1 species